AAAGCAUCGUGGCACUUGUAGUUCUACAACAUCUGUGGAUCUACCAUUUGCCCAGCCCUAGGCUAACUACAAGCAUUUUCCCCCUUUACUUAUAACUUGAUCAUAUAUUCCUGUCAUUGCAAUUGCUAGUGUCAUCACUCUUGGUUUUCCAGACUGAAAAGCUUGUGGUCAUAUUUUUUUUUUUAGAGUAAUUAUCUUGCAAUGGCUGU